UACGAAGGGGGCUAGCGUUGCUCGGAAUCACUGGGCGUAAAGCGCACGUAGGCGGAUUGCUAAGUCAGGGGUGAAAUCCUGGAGCUCAACUCCAGAACUGCCUUUGAUACUGGCGAUCUUGAGUCCGGGAGAGGUGAGUGGAACUGCGAGUGUAGAGGUGAAAAUUCGUAGAUAUUCGCAAGAACACCAGUGGCGAAGGCGGCUCACUGGCCCGGUACUGACGCUGAGGUGCGAAAGCGUGGGAGCAACAGGAUAGAAACCUUGUACGUCC
rnacentral:rRNA from 1 species